rnacentral:lncRNA from 1 species
GCUACUAUACUCUUACGAGUACAAUCGCCUUCGUACUCAUAAGUUGUUUUCGAUAAUAGAGCUUCCGAAUUGAGGAUCCAUACCGUCAAACAUUAUCUAGAGCAUUUAAAACUUCUACAAAUCGAAUUUUAUAAUUUUUCGAUAUCAUUUACCUUACGAUCAAAAGCCCACAAAAUUAAUAAUUUUUAACGGCCAAUAUGAGAUAUUUGCUAAUUUAACGGUGUAAAAGAAUCGGAAUAGGUUGAAUUUUUGAUAAAAAAUUCUAUUCACUACCUAAAUAAAGAUCAAUAACUCUGAUCUUAAAUUGAAGGAUCCGAUCAUCCAUUCUUAAGAUGUCGUUCGAUUUUGACCGUUCAUUUUAUACCCGUUUGAUAGACUUUAUAAUGAUUUCGAAAAAUUACGAAAUUUAUUUUCUAAAAGUUUCAAAUACCCUAAAUCAUAUUUAACGGUGUGGAUCGUCAAUUCAAAAGCCCCAACAUCAAAAACUACUUAUGAGUACAAAUGACUCUAUACUUAUAAGAGUAUAGUAAUCCUACUCUAUAUAUAUAUAAACUAUAUAUUAAUCCCCAAUGUUGUAAGGUGACGUGGCACCUUCUCCUUAGCUUGGAACUUUUUUGAACCGAACUGACCUGUCUCUUCUUUCAAUUAUUCUUCUUUGAACUGCUUUUUUUUUCUAUUCAAUUUUUUAAACUGAACUGACGUAUUUUACUAUAUAUUUUGUGUUGAACCCGGUUCUUCACUGAACCAACUCAUCUCUUCUUUUUAAUUUUUUUGAACCGAACAAUCCCCA